AGAAAAUAAGUUUGAAGAAAAAUUAAUUUUUUGUUUUGCAGUAUUUUUGUCAACUUAAAAGUUUUAAUCAAAUUAAAAUUCAAAAUACAAUUAAUGAGUUAAUUGAAAAUGAUAAUAGGAAAAAUUGUCGUGAAAGAAAAGAUUAUUCAUCGAGGAAGUUCUAAGAGGAGUUGGUAACACAGUAAGAGCUUCCACUACAGCCUGUUCUAUGUUACUGGAAUUUACACAGAUUUUAUCGACGAUAAUUGGAUCGGAAAGUUGUCUACUCAUCUGACCGUUCUUUCUUGUCGCUGGGAACCCUCCGAAAGAUCUCGUUUCUUGAAUUUCCUUUUGUUUGACAUCGACGAUCUUACAAUCGCAACAUGAAGAGUGGAGAAGUAUAUAUAUAUUAUGUUUCAAUUAUAUAAAGUGACUCUCCAGGGUGUCAUACGUACCAUAUCCAUUGGACGUUUUCUAGCCAAGAUGUUAAUUUGGAUAUAGUAUAACCGAGCCUGCCGAAUACCGGAUAGAUGCACUGCCUCGGACAAUAUGGAGAGCGGUAGUAGGAAGUCCAACACCUGUAGGCUAGCCGACACUCAUGUACUCAAACAAAGAUAUUCGAGAUCUUAUAACAUUAUUAAGUGUUUCAAUAGAAGUUCUAGUUAUUUUAUUACAUUUUUAAAUUAGUCUCUUCUGUAAUCUAUUAGUUGGUCUUAGGUCUUAUGCGCAAAGCUUGAGUAGUCGUAUGAAGAAACAUGCUUAAUAAAUAAUAUACUAAUCCAAUUCCGAUACCAUUAAAAAAUUAUGCGCCAAAAUGUAUGCAAAUGUUUAGAAUUCACGAUCGUAUUUCAAAUUUGCCUCAUAAAAAAUCAAAUAGUGUUUAUAAAUUGUUGCCGCGCUGAAACUGUCA